rnacentral:rRNA from 1 species
UACGAAGGGGGCGAGCGUUGUUCGGAAUUACUGGGCGUAAAGGGCGCGUAGGCGGCUACUCUAGUCAGAUGUGAAAGUCCUGGGCUUAACCUGGGGACUGCAUUUGAUACUGGGUUGCUUGAAUUCGGGAGAGGAUAGCGGAAUUCCCAGUGUAGAGGUGAAAUUCGUAGAUAUUGGGAAGAACACCGGUGGCGAAGGCGGCUAUCUGGACCGACAUUGACGCUGAGGCGCGAAAGCUAGGGGAGCAAACGGG